rnacentral:tRNA from 1 species
ACGCGUGACGUGCCCGUCCGCCCGUCCCGUGGGACGCAUGUGCCGCGAGCGCGUACUAAGGAGACUUCGAUGGGGGAUCGAAGACCC